rnacentral:rRNA from 1 species
GAUGAACGCUGGCGGCGUGCCUAAUACAUGCAAGUAGAACGCUGAAGGAGGACCUUUCUCUUCUGGAUGAGUUGCGAACGGGUGAGUAACGCGUAGGUAACCUGCCUGGUAGCGGGGGAUAACUAUUGGAAACUAUAGCUAAUACCGCAUGACAACAGUUAUUGCAUGAUAACUGUUUAAAAGUGGCAACUGCUCCAGUACCAGAUGGACCUGCGUUGUAUUAGCUAGUUGGUGAGGUAACGGCUCACCAAGGCGACGAUACAUACCCGACCGGCGAGGGUGAUCGGCCACACUGGGAGUGAGACACGGCACAGACUCCUACGGGAGGCAGCAGUAGGGAAUCUGCGGCAAUGGACGGAAGUCUGACCGAGCAACGCCGAGUGAGGGAAGAAGGUUUUCGGAUCGUAAAGCUCUGUUGUAAGAGAAGAAAGAGUGUGAGAGUGGAAAGUUCACACUGUGACGGUAACUUACAAGAAAGGGACGGCUAACUACGUG